rnacentral:rRNA from 1 species
GGGUGUAAAGGGAGCGCAGGCGGGAAGACAAGUUGGAAGUGAAAACCAUGGGACUCAACCCAUGAAUUGCUUUCAAAACUGUUUUUCUUGAGUAGUGCAGAGGUAGAUGGAAUUCCGGGUAGCGGUGGAAUGCGUAGAUAUCGGGAGGAACACCAGUGGCGAAGGCGGUCUACUGGGCACCAACUGACGCUGAGGCUCGAAAGCAUGGGUAGCAAACAGGAUUAGAUACCCUGGUAGUCCAUGCCGUAGACGAUGAUUACUAGGUGUUGGGGGGAUUGACCCCCUCAGUGCCGCAGUUAACACAAUAAGUAAUCCACCUGGGGAGUACGACCGCAAGGUUGAAACUCAAAGGAAUUGACGGGGGCCCGCACAAGCAGUGGAGUAUGUGGUUUAAUUCGAAGCAACGCGAAGAACCUUACCAGGUCUUGACAUCCGAUGCAUAACACAGAGAUGUGUGAAAUCCUUCGGGACAUCGAGACAGGUGGUGCAUGGUU